AGCUGGGGCUGGGGCAGUCCGGAGCCGUGUGCAGUCCGAGUGCGUGCUUGGGGGAUGGAUUCCGCUGGUGUGAUUCGACUUGAUGUUAUGCAGCGUGGCGCUGAAAUAAGACUGCUGCUCUCAGACUUCAGACCUCCAAGUAUCAUUUAACAGGUUACUGCCCACCUUGCAUAUCUGUCCUGAAGAGCCUAUCGCAACAUUCACAAAAAGUGGAAAGGUUCACUCAUGGGUCCGUGCCUAAGCAGUGGCAGUAUUUUUGUCAUUGGGUGAUGACCCGUUUCAGUUACUCAGUGUAUCUGUACUUCAUCAGCAACCUCCAUUACACAAUAAAACCAUGCAGUUAAAACCAGGGUCUUGCCUUCCAUAUGAAAUACGUGCACACACGUUGGCCGUGCUGGCAUUCCGUGCACAGGACAGACUCAGUCUCCCAAGCCAGAGCUGCCAAUGCACGCAAUAGGCUCUUCCCAGGGCCUUGCAGGCACAGUGGCCAGCCCACUUUCGGGAAGGCAGAGUACUGUCCAAUAAUCGAAAAAUUACAAGCUGCCACUUUAAAUCUCAGGGGGUUUCCUGGUCCUGCUUGCAGACUGGAGUUCUGUAAGGAGUUGUGCAAUCUGAGCCUAGCAGUAUUCAAUCUGCAGAAAGCCAGUCUAGAGUAAGGCAGGGCGAGAGAAAGCAGGCUGCUCUCUAUGUUUUUGAGUUCUAAGAACUAAAGCAGUGGUACAUUGCCACUUUUCAGCAAGAGUAUUUUAUGUUUUUAUCUAAGUUCUCUGUUGGUAUGCUAUGAACACAACAUAAAA